GAGCCUCAAUUCGUCGUGUGAUCGAGAUUUGUGUCUCAGGCUAUCGCUUCUUCGUGUGGUACAAUAUAUUGGCCAAUAAUUCCACAUGAUGCCGGUUGCAUAGAUCAAUUUGGAAUAGUCACGUAAUGUGUCAUAAUAUGCUGACGGUGCGCAAAGGAAAUUAGCGUUCCAAGGCGCACGAAAAAAAAAAGUAUCUCUGUGAGGAAGAAGAAGGAGAAGAAAGUCUUCCUGACCCUCGUGCAGAAAUAUCUUGCCGGAAAAGGGCGUCUUCGCUGUGAGUGUGUGGACUACGCAGCAUCUAGUGAAAACAAGCAGUAUUAAAAGCGCCCAAUGGAGUGAAAACUUCAUCAAGUGUCACCUAGAGGUUUUUCCGCGGUUACCACGUGCGCAAGCGCUAUCUCAGGGACACCGUUAACCAAUGCCAGAACGAGCGUGUAGGACAACAAAACGAAUUAGGAAUUCCUCCGUCUACUAUAGUCGAGUAGAAAGUCCAGUUCUUUAUCCAGAAGGGAAACAGAAGUGAAGCCCCGCG